rnacentral:rRNA from 1 species
ACGGGAGGUAGCAGUGGGGAAUAUUGCACAAUGGGGGAAACCCUGAUGUAGCAACGCCGCGUGAGUGAAGAAGUAUUUCGGUAUGUAAAGCUCUAUCAGCAGGGAAGAUAAUGACGGUACCUGACUAAGAAGCUCCGGCUAAAUACGUGCCAGCAGCCGCGGUAAUACGUAUGGAGCAAGCGUUAUCCGGAUUUACUGGGUGUAAAGGGUGCGUAGGCGGCAUGGCAAGUCAGAUGUGAAAGACCGGGGCUCAACUCCGGGGCUGCAUUUGAAACUGCCAGGCUUGAGUACAGGAGAGGCAGGCAGAAUUCCUAGUGUAGCGGUGAAAUGCGUAGAUAUUAGGAGGAACACCAGUGGCGAAGGCGGCCUGCUGGACUGUUACUGACGCCGAGGCACGAAAGCGUGGGGAGCAAACAGGAUUAGAUACCCUGGUA